AGGGGCAUAGCUCAGCGGAAGAGCAUUCGACUGCAGGUCGAGAGGUCCCCGGUUCAAACCCGGGUGUCCCCU
rnacentral:tRNA from 1 species